GACCUAGAGAGAGGUUACGAGAGGACGGAGCAGCCCGUCUACAAACCAAUCAGUUCUAAGUAUCUGGAGACGCAGCUUACAUCUGUGAUGACGGCAGGACGUAGUUUUGUCACGUAGAGAUCUUUAGUGUGCUUGCAUAACUGCAGUGUGAAAUCAAAACUUACCCGAUCAAAUGU